rnacentral:rRNA from 1 species
GGAAGGUGCAAGCGUUACCCGGAAUCAUUGGGCGUAAAGCGUCCGCAGGCUGUUUGUUAAGUUGGGUGUUAAAUUUUGCAGCUCAACUGCAAAACUAUAUCCAAAACUAGCAAACUUGAGUAUUGCAGAGGUACGUGGAAUUCUGUGUGUAGGGGUAAAAUCCGUAGAUACACAGAGGAACACCAAAAGCGAAGGCAGCGUACUGGGCAAUUACUGACGCUCAGGGACGAAAGCGUGGGUAGCGAACGGGAUUAGAUACCCCGGGUAGUCCACGCCGUAAACGAUGGAUACUAGGUGUUGGGAGACUCGACCCCUCUCAGUGCCGACGCUAACGCAUUAAGUAUCCCGCCUGGGGAGUACGGUCGCAAGAUUA